rnacentral:tRNA from 1 species
AAGUGCUUAGUUAAUUUUAUAAUAUAAGGUUGUCAAUCUUAAGUUGCCUUGGUAGCAUUUU